GUUUCUCGAGAUGCACUCCAACCCCUGUGACAUACCACUUGUUGCCUCGGCGGAUCAGCCCGCUCCCGGUAAAACGGGACGGCCCGCCAGAGGACCCCUAAACUCUGUUUCUAUAUGUAACUUCUGAGUAAAACCAUAAAUAAAUCAAAACUUUCAACAACGGAUCUCUUGGUUCUGGCAUCGAUGAAGAACGCAGCAAAAUGCGAUAAGUAAUGUGAAUUGCAGAAUUCAGUGAAUCAUCGAAUCUUUGAACGCACAUUGCGCCCGCCAGUAUUCUGGCGGGCAUGCCUGUUCGAGCGUCAUUUCAACCCUCAAGCACAGCUUGGUGUUGGGACUCGCGUUAAUUCGCGUUCCUCAAAUUGAUUGGCGGUCACGUCGAGCUUCCAUAGCGUAGUAGUAAAACCCUCGUUACUGGUAAUCGUCGCGGCCACGCCGUUAAACCCCAACUUCUGAAUGUUGACCUCGGAUCAGGUAGGAAUACCCGCUGAACUUAAGCAUAUCAAGCCGGGGGAAGAAAA
rnacentral:rRNA from 1 species